rnacentral:lncRNA from 1 species
AAAAUUUCUGUAAAAGAACAAUUAUUAAGUAUUGCGAAGAGAAAUAAAAAUUUCUGUAAAAGAACAAUUAUUAAGUAUUGGCCAAUGACUUUUGAAGUGGAUCAUGUUUUUUCAUCUUUAACGUCGACAUCUCCAUGAGGGUAUACACUCGACUUUGAAUGGUCCAGACCAUCUCAACUUUAAUUUACUAGGAAAUAGUUUAAGUUUAGAAUUAAAGAGCAAGACUUGUUG